CAAAAAGCAGUACUGCAGAAGUUACUUGCUGCUGGAAGCUGCUGUUGUGUUCUAUUGACACAGCUCCCACUGGUGGGCAAAAGGCAGAACUACAGCAACUUUUGAGCAGAAACUUUUUUCUGCACAAAAAAAUAAAAAUAUGCAUGGCUCAUUAAUCAUGUGCGUGCGCAGUGGUGCAAGAAUCCCCCCCGGUGUACUAAGUCUAUGCUUUUCCUUGCAUAUGCUGCAGCAAACUGUUUUUACUCACCAGGUCAUCAGUGUGGAAUUUUUCCAACUCCAGUCGCAAGUGUGCAAUUUUCUGGUUCACUUUCUGCAUACUGCCAAUUGGGCACACUGAGAAACCCUGACUCAUCUCACUAACUGCACAAUCCAAAUCUUUCAGAAAAUCCUCCAAACCCGUUGCAAAUGGUAACCAUACAGUGGAGCUGUGGACUUUGGACUACCAACAAAAUGUUUGGCAAAUUGGGGACCCCUUGAAAAAUUAAAAGGGAAGGGAUAUUUAUUUUCAUUUUGCCUCAAAUACAUGCUUCUCAUAGGCUCUUGACAUCCUGCCAUCCAUUAAAAUACAUUCCAUACCAAUAAAUACAGUCUAUACCCCAUCUUCACCCUUUUUACAAGACCAUGAUAAAUUUUGUACUAAGUAUGCCUUGUGAGGUAUCAUUUCAAAAAUUCAAUUUGCUUAACAUUAUUGUCCUGGUAAAAUAUGUGUGGCAAAAUUACAUGUCAAAAGUUAUAAGAUUCUACUGAAUAAUAUUACUGUAACAUAAUCCAAAUUUAGAAAAGCAGACACAAACCAGUUCAUCAAAAAGAAAAGACAAACCAACACCUUAGUCUGGUGUCAACAAAGUCAAGUGGACCAUCACCUAGUAAAAUGGCCAUUCUUUGGAAGGAAGAAAUGUGUAAGCAAGAACUUUACAAUGACAGUAGAACAAUUGGGGGUUCCCAUGUAAACAGACUGGCUAUCACCUGCACCUCAGCUGGAGAUAGUCCUCACACAACAUAAAUUACCUCUCUACUCUAUUCCUUUGCUCAUGGCAGCAAUGCCUGAAGAGACACUGAACUGGGGGAGGAGUCCUAGCCUAAAAGCUUCCAGCCAUUAAAGACUACAAAGAGCAGGUGAUGAGAAAAACCUUUGCUUUGAAUCUCCCUAGCUUGGUAAAUUACAUACUAGUUUGCAUUUUAUCUUUUUAUUUUCUUUGUGACCAAGUCUGACUUUUAUACCUCUUUACUUGUAAUCACUUAAAAUCUUUCUGUAGUUAAUAAAUUUGUUUUAUUGUUUUGUCUAAA